UACUCCUACGGGAGGCAGCAUACUCGUAUGUUAGGCAGCAGUGGGGAAUAUUGCGCAAUGGGCGAAAGCCGGACGCAGAAAGCGUUGCGUGAGGGAAGCGGCUUUCGGGUGGUAAACCUCUUCAGUAUGGACGAAGCGCAGAGUGACGUAUCUUGCA
rnacentral:rRNA from 1 species